rnacentral:tRNA from 1 species
GGGGAUGUAGCUCAGCGGUGCAGCGCCCGCCUGGCAAGCGUGAGGCCCUGGGUUCGAUUCCCGGUACCA